CUUCCGUAGGUGAACCUGCGGAAGGAUCAUUACUGUGAUUUAUAUCUUAUACACAUGCGUGAGCGCACCAAACACCUAAAAUUGUAAUACUACCAGUCACUAAGUUUUAACAAAACAAAACUUUCAACAACGGAUCUCUUGGUUCUCGCAUCGAUGAAGAGCGCAGCGAAAUGCGAUACCUAGUGUGAAUUGCAGCCAUCGUGAAUCAUCGAGUUCUUGAACGCACAUUGCGCCCCAUGGUAUUCCAUGGGGCAUGCCUGUCUGAGCGUCGUUUCCUUCUUGCGCAAGCAGAGUUGAGAACAGGCUAUGCCUUUUUCGAAAUGGAACGUCGUGGACGAAGUGAACUAAACUUUUAGCACGCUUUGGCCGCCGAACUUUUAACUAAGCUCGACCUCAGAUCAGGUAGGAAUACCCGCUGAACUUAAGCAUAUCAAUAAGCGGAGGAA
rnacentral:rRNA from 1 species